CAUAGCGACUAUCGUGGCAUAUCAAUAAGCGGAGGAAAAGAAACUAACAAGGAUUCCCUUAGUAACGGCGAGUGAAGCGGGAAGAGCUCAAAUUUGAAAUCUUCAAGGUUUUACCUUGACGAAUUGUAGUUUAAAGAAGUGUUUUCUGUUGGAGUUUUGGUAAAAGUUCUUUGGAAUAGGACAUCAUAGAGGGUGAGAAUCCCGUAUUUGACCAUUAUUUUCAGCUGUGUGAUACACUUUCAAAGAGUCGGAUUGUUUGGGAAUGCAGUCCAAAAUGGGUGGUAAAUUUCAUCUAAAGCUAAAUAUUGGCGAGAGACCGAUAGCGAACAAGUACCGUGAGGGAAAGAUGAAAAGAACUUUGAAAAGAGAGUUAAACAGUACGUGAAAUUGUCAAAAGGGAAGCGUUUGACACCAGUGUUGUUUAGUUCCGAAAAUCAAUUCACUAAUUUUUGAUUUUGAGUAGUAUGACUUCAUCAGCUUGCUGCUUUCUUUACGGAAACUUUCUUGAAUGCACUUUUCAGUUAACAAGUCAACAUCAAUUUCUUUUGUUGUAAAAGGGUAUGAGGAAGGUGGCUUUCUUUUCGGAGAAAGUGUUUAUAGCCUUGUACCUCUGCAAUCGGAGAGAUUGAGGUCUGCAGCGUAGAUCCUUCGGGGUUAGAUACAUUUGUGCUAAGUUAUAGCUUUUCAUAGACAACUUGUUGACUAUGUUUAGUCUUGUAGCUUACUCGCUUAUGCUAUUUUACCUACGCUUAGGAUGUUGACGAGACUGUCGAUCUC
rnacentral:rRNA from 1 species